GACGAACGCUGGCGGCGUGCUUAACACAUGCAAGUCGAACGGAAAGGCCCUGCUUUUGUGGGGUGCUCGAGUGGCGAACGGGUGAGUAACACGUGAGUAACCUGCCCUUGACUUUGGGAUAACUUCAGGAAACUGGGGCUAAUACCGGAUAGGAGCUCCUGCUGCAUGGUGGGGGUUGGAAAGUUUCGGCGGUUGGGGAUGGACUCGCGGCUUAUCAGCUUGUUGGUGGGGUAGUGGCUUACCAAGGCUUUGACGGGUAGCCGGCCUGAGAGGGUGACCGGCCACAUUGGGACUGAGAUACGGCCCAGACUCCUACGUGAGGCAGCAGUGGGGAAUAUUGCACAAUGGGCGGAAGCCUGAUGCAGCAACGCCGCGUGCGGGAUGACGGCCUUUGGGUUGUAAACCGCUUUCGCCUGUGACGAAGCGUGAGUGACGGUAAUGGGUAAAGAAGCACCGGCUAACUACGUG
rnacentral:rRNA from 1 species